CCUACGGGAGGCUGCAGUGGGGAAUAUUGGACAAUGGGCGAAAGCCUGAUCCAGCCAUGCCGCGUGUGUGAAGAAGGCCUUCGGGUUGUAAAGCACUUUCAGUGGGGAAGAAAGCCUUGGGGCUAAUACCCUCGAGGAAGGACAUCACCCACAGAAGAAGCACCGGCUAACUCCGUGCCAGCAGCCGCGGUAAUACGGAGGGUGCGAGCGUUAAUCGGAAUUACUGGGCGUAAAGCGCGCGUAGGCGGUCUGAUAAGCCGGUUGUGAAAGCCCCGGGCUCAACCUGGGAACGGCAUCCGGAACUGUCAGGCUAGAGUGCAGGAGAGGAAGGUAGAAUUCCCGGUGUAGCAGUGAAAUGCGUAGAGAUCGGGAGGAAUACCAGUGGCGAAGGCGGCCUUCUGGACUGACACUGACGCUGAGGUGCGAAAGCGUGGGUAGCAAACAGGAUUAGAUACCCUGGUAGUC
rnacentral:rRNA from 1 species